CGCAGCCGGCCGCGCAGCGCGGACACGGGCCGCAGCCUCCGCCCCCCCUCCCGCCUCGGGGGGACCGCCGCCGGCGCGGCUCCUUCGGCUGCACCGGGGGCUGCUGCGGCCGGAGCGCGAGGCGCUGCGCGGGACCUGUUGCGUUGGGAGCUGCGGCCGCUCCAGAAAGGGAGCCUUUCCACUUGAAGAAACUCUUGGUACCUGUAACUCGGGAGGAUUUAGUCUCUUGAAGCAAAGUUCUGUGACACUCAGACUCUGAUUAUGAUAGAAGUCAGUGCACUACAGAACUUUGUCUUUGGGGUCUGUAGCAGCGAAGGGGUUAAUGCAGCAGUCCUGAAAGACUCAGGUGGACACGUCACUACAGUCUCCUUCCAAAAGGAGGUGGGAUCGGAGGAGAGAAUGAAAUGGGAAUGGGAGAGCAGACCAGGGUUCACUUCAGUAACUCUGCUUUGGGCUUGAAAUAAAAACUUUGCUUUUAUAGUCUAGUGGCCUCCUAGUUUCUGAAGAUUUUAGAUUAAAAAUAGCGCAACAUCUGGGUAUCAGAAAGUUAUUUAAAUGAGGCCAAUUUGACUGCAAGUAUAAAUGUGGAACUAAAUGUGGUGCUAAGUGCUACCAAUUAGUGGUCAUAUUAACAUGUUAGGCACUAUUCCUAUUUGCCUAAUCUCUGUAGACAUUAUAUAAGUUACAGAACACUUGUGCAAAAACCUUAGUUUUGGUUAAAUAAUUAUGACAAUAGUUAACUGAAAGCUGUUUUAACUAGAGUUGAAGAAAUGACUUGGUACUCUUCAUUAGCAAGAUCUAGGAAAUGUUCCACUCAAACUAUUACCACUGUCUGCAGUUUGCAUAUUUUGUGAUGUGCUGCAUCAUAAAGCAAUGAGUUAUCUUCACUUAAAAAUGUGAACUGCUAUUGGCUACUUGAAUACAAGGCAACUUUGUUCCUGUAUUUUUAAUGUAGUUGGACUACUGUCAACAUUUGUAUUUAAGUACUUGCAGAAAUCUUCCUUUUGAGGAAAAGGUUUUUAAAGGACAAGCCUAAAUCAAUGUUUAAAAGUAAGAAAGAUGUGCUGAAGACACUAUAAUCUGACACACACAGACUACACUGGUGGGUGUUGCAGGUCACAGCAAUGGCGGAGUUGGUUUUGAAUGUGAACAGAUGUCCAGUCAGGGCCAGAAUGAGGUGACCAAGCUCAUCUUCCUUUGACUUAAGCUGAGAUCUGAAGCUAGCAACAGUGUAACAUUCACUUGUUCACUUCAGAAAUGCUGCACAAUAUCAAAUACAAAUGGUAAAUGUAAAAUUUUUUUAAGGUGGGCUUACUCAAAAGAUUAUUAUUCUUAUGAUAGUCGAGGGAAUUGUUUCAAUAGCAGUCAACAAAUGAGGGUGUUUUGGACAUUGACUAUUUAUUACAAAUUAAGUAAUGACUUCAGAUAGCCCUUCAACAGUAGCCUCUUCAACAAAUAGUUGCACUGUAGUAGGGAAUGAAUGAAUAUAUAUCAGUGUUUUUCUGAUAGGGGUUUUGUGUUCAUUAGUUUCUUUAUGAUCUUCCACUACCCUAGAAACCUAAAUCAACUCUUCCUAUCAGUCCAUACCUGAAAGGUAAAGCAAGAGUAUCAGCUCACUGUGAGUUGGGCUGCAAUGUGAAAAGCUGUUAUAAAUAUAUAUAGUUUCUUUUGGCCAACCUAUUUCAUCAAAGGGUAGGUAAAGUGAAGAGCAUUUAGUGUAUGGUAGCCUGUGCGGUCAACGUUAUGGCUAUAUUUGCUUUUUCCAGACCAGUUUUUGGCAAUUGCCUGCUGUUUUAAAUUGUACACUAUGCAGUUCUUUUAAGAGAAGGCUUGGCUACUACUCUGUGCAGCUGUUUAUCAGUAUGGCUAUGGGGCAACACCUUUUAUUGUCAGGGCUAAAGUCCCACUGCUUAUUUAACUUAGGAGUGGUUUCUGCCCCUAUAUAAAAUACACACGGAGUUACUAUUUUUCCAUGUUUUGUACAUGCUCAAAAGCACCAGGCCUUAAGCAAAAAGGGCUCCCUAGUUUUAACACCUAAAUGUUAGUUGUUAGUUUUUCAAUCUUCAUUGCUGUGAAACACUUUUUUAUAUAUUUAACACCAUUAUAAAUGCUGGAGGCAAAACAGGGUUUGGGGUGGAGGCAGGCAGCUCAUCCCCCCCCCCCCCCCAUAAUAACCUCACAACCCCUUGAGGGGUCCUGCCCCCAAAUUUGAGAACCCCUGCUGUAUUAGGAGUUUAGCUUACACCAAUCCUGGGUCUGUGCUAGGACCAGAUUCUGAUGUUUCAAACUAAACCGUGAGUCAGUUAAUAUAGUCUUUCUGGAUUUACACCAGUGUAAUAGAUCAGAAUCUGGCUUUAAGUAAAGGGCUGAUUUAUUCUCUCACCUCUAAGUUGAAUGUGUAAGUUUUGGGGUGAAAUUUUUUUACUUACUCACCUGAGGAGUCCCACUGUAGUAAAUGUGACUAGAUAUGUGAGUAAGUUGAGCAAGCUUUGCCCUUAGAGUAUCUGUUGGGAGAUUUUUUUUUCAUUUGUCCCUGUGACUUUCUCACAAUGUGCAUUUUAGCUUGGUAGGGCAUGUGACACUCAAUACAUGCCAAUUUUCAGAUGGGAGUAAUACUUAAGUUUUGAUAGCAGGUGGUCAGGUGACCUGAGGCAGCUCUGGGAAAAAAUAAAACUAACAGUUCAAGAAGUCUAAUACUUGUACUAAAGUAUGCAGGUUCUGCUGAUCAUUUAGUGUGAUAGCUUUCCAGUUCACUUUUACACUUGGUCAUUCAAAACGCUGCUUUUUAAAAAGUACAUAUAACAAUUGGCUUAUUGUACAUAAGAUUUUCAUAAGUAACAUUUUUUAAAUCUUCAGAAUAGAGUAUAAUACAUCUGUGAUUUAAGAAUAAAAUUGUAAAAGAUACCUGUAGAGCCAUGAGGGCCUACCACUGGGUUCAAUCUUGAACAGUUUGAGAAUAACAUUUGAGCAAGAUAAUGGGGAUUAAUUUGUCUAAUAGCUUUUUAUUUAUUCUGCUUCUGUUUAAGUAAUCUGACUGCUAAACUAUAUACUUGCAUCAAAAUAACUUGUUUUGAGAGUGGCUUCUAGGCAGGGCAGUUUCUGCUCUAGGUUGUUGGACAACAUCGAUUGUAGCGAGAAUAUUCUAAACCAAUACUAUUCUUGCAUUUCAAAAUCAAGUGCCUUAAAAAAAAAAAAGCAGUUAUUUAAAUAUAUGGGACUCGUCCUCAUAAUGGGGAGAACACCCCAUUCUGCACAUUUGUGUAAGUGUCAAAAGGGUGGGUUUUUUGUUUUUUGAAACUAGGCAAAAUUUUAGUAUAGCAAAAGUGAGGGGAAGGGAAAGAACUAAAAAUUCUAAUAUUCUAGAAGCCACAGAAUGACACACAAUGAAAGUCAGACAUUUUCUGUGUGGUUUUUAUAGACUUUUAAUGUUAAUUUCAAUAAGGGAUUUGGCAUAGUGAUUGCUUGAUUCAUUUUUAAUGGCUGGGAUAAAUCCCCACGGAUUAAUCUUCAGAAAUAAUUGGUAAUCAACUAUUGAAUUAUAGUUGUAAGCAGAAAUGGUGUUUAAAAUGAACAAAAUAAGCGUUCAAUAAACACAACAUACCUGA